UAUUGUACAAUGUUGUUAAGAUAGUCUUGAUAACGUCAGGGCUACUUCGAGUUUGAUUGCCUGGUCGGAGAAGACGGGGCGCUUUGGUGUGCGGUGAAUACAACAAAAUUAAACACCGUACGGGAGAAGGCCCCGUGUCCAAUGUUCGUAUGAUUUGCAUAUCGUUAUUGAGUAUUGUAACUGCUACUACCAUACUGUUCUGCGUACCACUCUGUACCCGUGGGAUAUUAGAAACUCGUUGCUGUUGCCCCAACCAUCCCACUUGUCCAGACUGCGGACUGAACUACUGACCUACAUUGGACAUAAGUGACCCGACAAUAUUUGAUAGUUCCCGCGUCGAUAGUUUUGUGAAGGCAGUGCGCGUAACUAACACUAGAUCAUGAUUUGUAUGAGUGUGCUGACGGCGGUCACUGCGGCCGGCCUCAUCGUAAUCGGUCCCUUGAUUUGUGAAAAAUUCUUCAAAUGUAUGUGUACCAAAUCGUCGAAACGAUGAUUAAUUAAAUUAU